GAUGAACGCUAGCGACAGGCUUAGCACAUGCAAGUCGAGGGGCAGCAUAAAAGUUACUUCGGUAAUUUUGGUGGCGACCGGCGCACGGGUGAGUAACGCGUAUGCAACCUACCUAUCAGAGGGGGAUAGCCCAUUGAAAGAUGGAUUAAUACCGCAUAAAACAGGGGUCCCGCAUGGGAAUAUUUGUUAAAAAUUUAUUGCUGAUAGAUGGGCAUGCGUUCCAUUAGUUAGUUGGUAUGGGUAACGGCCUACCAAGACAUCGAUGGAUAGGGGUUCUGAGAGGAAGGUCCCCCACACUGGUACUGAGACACGGACCAGACUCCUACGGGAGGCAGCAGUGAGGAAUAUUGGUCAAUGGACGAGAGUCUGAACCAGCCAAGUCGCGUGAAGGAAGAAGUAUUUCGGUAUGUAAACUUCUAUCAGCAGGGAAGAAAAUGACGGUACCUGACUAAGAAGCCCCGGCUAAUUACGUGCCAGCAGCCGCCGUAAUAC
rnacentral:rRNA from 1 species